AAAAAAAGGAAAACCAGUGCAAAUGUACUAUGAUGCAAUGACGUACAAACUGUAUGUUUACCAAACACUUCUAUGGUCCCGUAACUUGGAAUAUCUCAUUUAAGCCUUUCAACUAAUUCUAUGCUGUAUCCAUAUCCUAGAGACGGAGAAACUGAGGCCAGGGCAUGACUCCUAGCUCACAAAGGCUAUAGGGAACAGAAUGGCAACUGUCUCCAUUUGGCCUGGGAACUAGCGCUUUAAUCAACACAGUGAGCCUCUGAGCCUCAAUUCCACAAGCAUGCCUUCCUAUCCACCAAGCGGAAAACCUUUGUAAGUACUGAUUCUCUGUGUUGGGGACUAGGGUGCUUUUUUUCCAUUGUAGGCAGAACUUGCAACUGAUACAACAUCUCUGGAAAACCAUUUGUUAAUGUGUAGCCCAAGUCUUCAAAGUGCUGACUCCUGGGGCCCGAACCUCCACCUAUAUUCACAUCUUCUAAAACAAAAGCCAGCAUGAGGACAUAGCUUUACACAUGCCCCUCAACUUGCAACGUAGU
rnacentral:lncRNA from 1 species